UGGGGAAUAUUGCACAAUGGGCGAAAGCCUGAUGCAGCAACGCCGCGUGAGUGAUGAAGGCCUUCGGGUUGUAAAGCUCUGUCUUUUGGGACGAUAAUGACGGUACCAAAGGAGGAAGCCACGGCUAACUACGUGCCAGCAGCCGCGGUAAUACGUAGGUGGCAAGCGUUGUCCGGAUUUACUGGGCGUAAAGGAUGCGUAGGCGGAUUUUUAAGUGAGAUGUGAAAUACCCGGGCUUAACUUGGGUGCUGCAUUUCAAACUGGGAAUCUAGAGUGCGGGAGAGGAGAAUGGAAUUCCUAGUGUAGCGGUGAAACGCGUAGAGAUUAGGAAGAACACCAGUGGCGAAGGCGAUUCUCUGGACCGUAACUGACGCUGAGGCAUGAAAGCGUGGGUAGCAAACAGGAUUAGAUACCCUGGUAGUCCACGCCGUAAACGAUGAGUACUAGGUGUAGGAGGUAUCGACCCCUUCUGUGCCGCAGUUAACACAAUAAGUACUCCGCCUGGGAAGUACGAUCGCAAGAUUAAAA
rnacentral:rRNA from 1 species